rnacentral:rRNA from 1 species
UACGGGGGGGGCAAGCGUUGUUCGGAAUACUGGGCGUAAAGGCUCGUAGGCGGCCAACUAAGUCAGACGUGAAAUCCCUCGGCUUAACCGGGGAACUGCGUCUGAUACUGGAUGGCUUGAGUUCGGGAGAGGGAUGUGGAAUUCCAGGUGUAGCGGUGAAAUGCGUAGAUAUCUGGAGGAACACCGGUGGCGAAGGCGACUCUUUGGCCUGUAACUGACGCUGAGGCGCGAAAGCGUGGGGAGCAACAGGAUUAAGAUACCCGGGU